AAACUAGCCUACUGAGGGUAAUAGACCAUGGGGAAAAAAGCUGAGUCACUUCAAUUGGAAGUCAGCCAACCCCAGAAACAGAGCUGCUUAGCUGAUGUUCAAUUGAUUACAGGCACAUGGGGAGGCCCAGCCAGUCAAACCCAGAACAGCCCGGCUGAGCUCAGCCUAAUUCUGUGACUUUCAGGAUGAGUAACAAAAUAAAUGAUUCUUAUUUUAAGUCAAAAUUUUGGAGAGCAAUCUUCCUCUUGUCAAUGUCUAUCUCAGUGCUAUUUCAGACUCCUUUCGUACUGUCAAAUCUCACUCAACUUUUAGCAUCUAUUUCAAUUGGCAUCUCUUCCAAGAAGAUUUUUCUAAUUUCCUCAAGUGAUGUGUUAUCUCCCCUAUAAUUGAACCCCAUUUUGAUAUUUGUGUCCCUUUUUAGCUUUUUUUUUAACUUGUUUUCUAUUAGAGGUGUUAGUGUCCUACUCAUCUUGCUUUUCCUACAGCUAGUAAGUGGACAUCCAGGAGGUACAAGGAUAUAUCCCAGACCUGGCCAGUCAUGCUACCAUUUCCCAUAAUAAUCUCCUUAAGAAAUGAAGAGCUAUAAGAAUGGAAUCGAGACUAGGAGAGGAACAUCCAAAGGAGAGAAAAUGACUGCAGUGGGAGAGAACAAGAGCUACGAUCAAAAAGAGGAGAGACAAGCAGCACUGAGGAAGACAGAAGGGUAAGAAGAGAUGAUGUCAGAAGUGGGAUCCAAAGAAAAGCUUCCAGUGACCCCCAGGAGCACUGAGUGACCAAGCAAGCAAGAAAAGGUUAAAUGACUUGUGCACUGGGAAGAAAAAAAAAAAAAACAGUUGUCAUCCGUGGUGCCAAAAAUAGAAGUUCUGAUUUCCAGUCCUGUGAUCUCAACAGAAGACAGAAUGUUCACUCUAUCUGACUGAUACAAAAUACAACUUCUCCAAGGACUCUAUUAUUUUGAACUACUGUGUAAGUACAUGUAAUUAUAAGCUUCUGGAAAUACGCACUGUUUAUUUUAUCAUUUGUAAUAGCAAAUAGAAAGGCUUGGGCUGAGCAUUUACCCAAUAAUGACACUAACAGCCUUCAGAGUCAUUAUAGAUGAUUUUUAAGGGUCUGUUUAGAUAUCCUUAAGAUCACUGACCCAUUAGUGCAAUUAUAGUUUAAGAUGGUUCCUGUACUUGCUGCCAGAAAGUGACAAGUUGAUGUUACAAACACUCUCUACACAUCAUUAAAAAUGUGUCUUUACUCAGAGAAAGCUGCAGAAAUAGAACUAUAACUAUACUUUAAAAUUCUGUUCCCCAUGGGUGAUGUAGUCAU
rnacentral:lncRNA from 10 species